AUUGAACGCUGGCGGCGUGCCUUACACAUGCAAGUCGAACGGCAGCACGGACUUCGGUCUGGUGGCGAGUGGCGAACGGGUGAGUAAUGCAUCGGAACGUACCCGGUAGUGGGGGAUAACUACCCGAAAGGGUGGCUAAUACCGCAUAUACUGUGCGCAGGAAAGCAGGGGACCUUCGGGCCUUGUGCUACCGGAGCGGCCGAUGUCAGAUUAGGUAGUUGGUGGGGUAACGGCCUACCAAGCCUGCGAUCCGUAGCGGGUCUGAGAGGAUGAUCCGCCACACUGGGACUGAGACACGGCCCAGACUCCUACGGGAGGCAGCAGUGGGGAAUUUUGGACAAUGGGCGCAAGCCUGAUCCAGCCAUGCCGCGUGAGUGAAGAAGGCCUUCGGGUUGUAAAGCUCUUUCGGACGGAAAGAGAUCGCGCAGGCUAAUACCCUGUGCGGAUGACGGUACCGUCAUAAGAAGCACCGGCUAACUACGUGCCAGCAGCCGCCGUAA
rnacentral:rRNA from 1 species